rnacentral:rRNA from 1 species
UACAGAGGUCUCGAGCGUUAGGCGGAAUCACUGGGCUUAAAGCGUGUGUAGGCGGAUUGGUAAGUACUUUGUGAAAUCCCACGGCUUAACCGUGGAACUGCUUGGUAUACUGCCAGUCUUGAGCCAGCUAGGGGCUACCGGAACAAAUGGUGGAGCGGUGAAAUGCGUAGAUAUCAUUUGGAACGCCAAUGGUGAAAACAGGUAGCUGGGGGCUGUGCUGACGCUGAGACACGAAAGCCAGGGGAGCAAACGGG